ensembl:lncRNA
GAAGGGUUUGUAAGAACCAGACACACAUCCAUGUUGAACACUAGUUGUAAUGGUUAUGGGUCCAUGGUUAAAGAAGGGUCAGUCUGGGAUUGUCUAACUGACAGGGUGUCUGGUCACUUUGUUGUUUGUUUCCCAGACUGACCCUUUAUGGAGGUUAUCUGAUGGAGUUGUGUUGGAUAUACAUGUGGGGUUUUAAGCUGUUUUAGUUUUUAUUUGUAAUUGAACUGACAACAUAUCAGAAAUUAUUAUGUAAUCUAGUGCACUAAAUAUAUAAUAGAAGUUAGCAGGUGUUAUAUUAGUGGUGAAGAAUACAUGUACAACAUUGUGUAAUGUAUUGUAGUGAAUGUGGGGACUAGUCCCUCAUCCAGCAACUGUCAACCCAACACCUUAGUCGUUACACCAAGAGAUAUGAAACCUUUGAUGAGGUUGCUAGGUGUUGGGUUAAGGUCACUACAGUAUAAACUCACUAUAGACCAGGUUAUAAGGUUGCUAGGUGUUGGGUUAAGGUCACUACAGUAUAGACCAGGUUAUGAGGUUGCUAGGUAUUGGGUUAAGGUCACUACAGUAUGAACUCACUAUAGACCAGGUUAUGAGGUUGCUAGGUGUUGGGUUAAGGUCACUACAGUAUAAACUCAGUAUAGACCAGGUUAUGAGGUUGCUAGGUGUUGGGUUAAGGUCAGUAUUAACCAGGUGGUGGGGACUGUCUGGUAAUUAGUCAAAUGUGACGUUAUUGGUGUAGAAACAGUAAAUGAUCAGUAGGCUGGAUGUAUUAUAAACAUUAUAUUGUGAAGACAUGUUUAUUUAGUUAAUAGCAUUACACUGGACCAAACCUGUCUGGCUGUCUGUUGAAUUACACUGGACCAAACCUGUCUGGCUGUCUGUUGAAUUACACUGGACCAAACCUGUCUGGCUGUCUGUUGAAUUACACUGGACCAAACCUGUCUGGGUGUCUGUUGAAUUACACUGGACCAAACCUGUCUGGCUGUCUGUUGAAUUACACUGGACCAAACCUGUCUGGCUGUCUGUUGGUUUACACUGGACCAAACCUGUUUGGCUGUCUGUUGAAUUACACUGGACCAAACCUGUCUGGCUGUCUGUUGAAUUACACUGGACCAAAACCUGUCUAGCUGUCUGUUGAAUUACACUGGACCAAAACCUGUCUGGCUGUCUGUUGAAUUACACUGGACCAAAACCUGUCUAGCUGUCUGUUGAAUUACACUGGACCAAAACCUGUCUGGCUGUCUGUUGAAUUACACUGGACCAAAACCUGUCUGGCUGUCUGUUGAAUUACACUGGACCAAAACCUGUCUAGCUGUCUGUUGAAUUACACUGGACCAAAACCUGUCUGGCUGUCUGUUGAAUUACA